rnacentral:rRNA from 1 species
UACAGAGGUCUCAAGCGUUGUUCGGAUUCAUUGGGCGUAAAGGGUGCGUAGGCGGCGCGGUAAGUCGGGUGUGAAAUCUCGGAGCUUAACUCCGAAACUGCAUUCGAUACUGCCGUGCUUGAGGACUGGAGAGGAGAGUGGAAUUUACGGUGUAGCGGUGAAAUGCGUAGAUAUCGGAAGGAAGACCAGUGGCGAAGGCGGGUCUCUGGACAGUACCUGACGCUGAGGCACGAAGGUGAGGGGAGCAAACGGG